AUUGAACGCUGGCGGCAGGCCUAACACAUGCAAGUCGAGCGGAUGAAGGGAGCUUGCUCCUGGAUUCAGCGGCGGACGGGUGAGUAAUGCCUAGGAAUCUGCCUGGUAGUGGGGGAUAACGUCCGGAAACGGGCGCUAAUACCGCAUACGUCCUGAGGGAGAAAGUGGGGGAUCUUCGGACCUCACGCUAUCAGAUGAGCCUAGGUCGGAUUAGCUAGUUGGUGGGGUAAAGGCCUACCAAGGCGACGAUCCGUAACUGGUCUGAGAGGAUGAUCAGUCACACUGGAACUGAGACACGGUCCAGACUCCUACGGGAGGCAGCAGUGGGGAAUAUUGGACAAUGGGCGAAAGCCGAUCCAGCCAUGCCGCGUGUGUGAAGAAGGUCUUCGGAUUGUAAAGCACUUUAAGUUGGGAGGAAGGGCAGUAAGUUAAUACCUUGCUGUUUUGACGUUACCAACAGAAUAAGCACCGGCUAACUUCGUG
rnacentral:rRNA from 1 species